rnacentral:rRNA from 1 species
AGACCCGAAACCCGGUGAUCUAGCCAUGGGCAGGUUGAAGGUUGGGUAACACUAACUGGAGGACCGAACCGACUAAUGUUGAAAAAUUAGCGGAUGACCUGUGGCUGGGGGUGAAAGGCCAAUCAAACCGGGAGAUAGCUGGUUCUCCCCGAAAGCUAUUUAGGUAGCGCCUCGUGAAUUCAUCUCCGGGGGUAGAGCACUGUUUCGGCUAGGGGGCCAUCCCGGCUUACCAACCCGAUGCAAACUGCGAAUACCGGAGAAUGUUAUCACGGGAGACACACGGCGGGUGCUAACGUCCGUCGUGAAGAGGGAAACAACCCAGACCGCCAGCUAAGGUCCCAAAGUCAUGGUUAAGUGGGAAACGAUGUGGGAAGGCCCAGACAGCCAGGAUGUUGGCUUAGAAGCAGCCAUCAUUUAAAGAAAGCGUAAUAGCUCACUGGUCGAGUCGGCCUGCGCGGAAGAUGUAACGGGGCUAAACCAUGCACCGAAGCUGCGGCAGCGAACGUAUCACUUAAAGCGAUUCAGCGGGUUACGAUUGACGGAGCGAAGCGACGUCAAAGCGUAUACAAAGUCGAGUCGGUUUAAGGAUACGUUCGUUGGGUAGGGGAGCGUUCUGUAAGCCUGUGAAGGUGUGUCGUGAGGCAUGCUGGAGGUAUCAGAAGUGCGAAUGCUGACAUAAGUAACGAUAAAGCGGGUGAAAAGCCCGCUCGCCGGAAGACCAAGGGUUCCUGUCCAACGUUAAUCGGGGCAGGGUGAGUCGACCCCUAAGGCGAGGCCGAAAGGCGUAGUCGAUGGGAAACGGGUUAAUAUUCCCGUACUUGGUGUUACUGCGAAGGGGGGACGGAGAAGGCUAUGUUGGCCGGGCGACGGUUGUCCCGGUUUAAGCGUGUAGGUGUGUGUUCCAGGUAAAUCCGGUUCACUUUAACACUGAGGCGUGAUGACGAGGCACUACGGUGCUGAAGCAACAAAUGCCCU